UAUCUAGCUCUGAGCUGGAAGCUCUCAAUUAGUGCUUGGUCUGUUGCUUUCUCCUAUUAGCAUUCUGGCUGCUACUGGAGCACACUGUGAGCAGAAGAUGUAUUAACCUAGGGUUAAAAGAGAGAGGUCAAGAGGCAGAACUAAAAACACAUUGCUGUUGUAUUUAAUGAAGUUUGCUGCGAUUUGUCUUUCUCAGAAGUAUUUGUAGUAAAAGUGAGUUUCAGAUGAUCACAGUGGAGUGCUCUGCAGUCACUAACAGACAGCAGCAGCAGCAUAAGCCCCACUCACAUUUACUUCCCCAGCUCAGCUGAAGGUUUUCCUGAAGGAGCAUGAAGCAAACCAUGUUUGAUUGCUGAACCAAAAGGCAAAGGGAAGGAGCAGCUUGCAUCCAAGGGGCAG